UUUUUUGUGCUCGUCUCGCAUCAUAUUUCCCAAGAGUUUACGAAUAAUGUCUAUUGACUUGGGGCGCGAAGGUUUGUGACUUUUAAAAUAUGGGUCCCCAGAAAAAAAAGUUUGGGAAACACUGGUGUUGAGGCAUCGCGUCCAAAAUGUUGCGUGGGCAGCGGAUGAGGUUGAGAAGCGUGAACGUAAAAAGUUCAGAGUCCAGACGAUUUCUGUGAGUUCGUCAGUGAGUGCAGGUUUUCACGAGCUGCAGCAGUGUGGAGCGCGUACACAGCUACAUUUUCUAUGUAGAGAGGCUAGCGUCGAAGCUAACUGAGUGACCUUAGGGCUAGGACUUAAACGCUUGCUUUGUUUUUUAAGGUUGCUGUUUAAAAUUUAAGUUUGUGUUUCUGUCAGGAAUUCGCAUAACGAGCUAUUUAGUAAUCGCAGAAUUUUAAAGUGUUAAUCGGCAUGUGGUACUUGUGUGACAUCGCGUGUUUAGACAAGCGUCAACGUCUGUGCCGUACAAUCGAGUAUCAGGGCCACAUUGUGAAAAACAAAAUGAUGAUGAGGUUAAAGUUGUACAUUUUUGAGAAUGAAGUCGAAACGCUACGAGAAAAAAAAAAUAACGUGAGAAAAAAGUGACUCGUCGUGUCUUGUUAAAUAAAUGCUAUUUAUCUAAAAAAUAAUAUUAGCAUAAGUUAGCAAAAAGACGAGCACCUCAUCUGUCUCACGUCAUUUUUGAACCCGACACUAAAGUGUAACGUCAUUACAUUCCCCAAUGCGUUUCAUUAUGACGCAUGUAUGUUUUUUUUUUUCUUCUCCAAAUCAAAUCUAAAAUUUCAACUUUAAUCUGAUAAAUUUAUGUCUUCAUUCUCAUAAAUUAACACGUUUCUUCUUGUGACGUUACGACUUUUUUUUUUUCCUCAUAAAAACAUGACUUUGUUUCUUUGAAAUAUUUCAAUUCUUGUCAUAAAUAGACGACUUCAAUCUUAAUAUAAUUCUCAAUAUCAUUUGUUUAGAUUCCCAUUGUGGCCCUGAUAUGUCUUUGUGCUGCCAAUCACGAAGAGAAAAUGAAAAUGUGAUUUUUCUUACUACUCAUAAUGAAGGACAAAUAGAAAAUAAACGUAAGAGCCGCCGCUGUUGUCCCAGAGGACCAAAAUAGUCUCUUCAUUUUAUACACUGUUACGAUUUGAUUGAAAAAAAAAAGUGUUUUUAAAUCUAAACUCUUAGCAGCAUAAGAUGACGUUGUGAGCCGUCACUUGACUCAUUUGUUUGCAGAUGGGCUGUAAUAGAGCAGCCAAUGAGUGAAGAGUGUCCUACUGGUCCUAUGCCUCAGUGAUUAGCUUUUCUGUAGCGCCCCCAAUCUUUUGUAGGCACUAUUGCCGAGACUUACAGCUAUUGACAGCCAUCUGCUAAAAAUCAAUAUUUUUGUCAAAAACAACUAGAUGAUUUUUUUUCCCCCCAAAUAUGGCAGAAGUUCCUAAAUAUAGUACAACUUAAAUUAACCUGACCCGCCCUUUGGGAACCACUUGUCUUCUCUCUCUCACUUCAUUUCUGGCCAACCUCCUACAGUUGUUAAGGCCUGACUCGUAACUUCAUUUCAAUUGUUUGAAUGAGAGCUGCCGCCGCAGAAAGAACACGCCGGCUCCUGAUUGGUUCAGCUGCUCGCCUCGCAGAAUCAAAUUGUGUUUUUAAAUGACGAUCGUUAGCAGCAUGGAUUUUAACCAGUUACUUUCCGCGUUUGACGCAGUUGGGUACCAAUAAACAGACUCCCGAACAAAGCCCGUGGGUUGGCCAAUGGGGUUCAUGAAGGUCACUGGUGAAUACCGCCGACGCAGAUGUGAUGUCAGACUUGACCUACUGCAUUUCUGAAGGUGUGAGGUUGGACUGAAACGUUUUCUUAAUGGUAGUUUGAAUGAGUGUCAAGUGCGCCUCCCACAGGCAGCCGGUGAUACAUGAGGUUGCUUCUAAGUGGAGUCACUGUAAGCCCAGCUGUAGACUUAAUUUUUAACAGGAAUACAUGAACUCGCUUGAGUCCAGAUAAUGCAGUUUUGUUUAUUUUUUUAUUUUUAUUAUUUUGUGUGUGUGAACCUCUGUCUGUUCAAGUAAAUAAAGUCCCUCGGUUCAAUACGAGCAAGGGACUUGAUAUACAAAUGGGUUGGACAAAAUGCAUCCUACUCAUGGAGGCAACGUGGAUGGACAACUCUCGUGUGCUUGUGAUGUAAAAUUGCUCGAUGAACUCCAGCUCAGAGACGUAAACGUUAACAAACUGAUAGAGAUUUUAAAUUUCCAUUUGACAUAGUGCCGUAUGUAUCAUAGCGUAAGAGGUGAGCGUUUUGUAAAGUAGCUACAAUCUUUUUUUCCCCCCCCCACUGGUGGGCAUCCUUUUAAGGCUUUUAACAUUAAGAAGUCAAUGGAUAAAUUGGCUCAUAUACAGCACCACAAAGGUCGACGACCGCUCCGUAAUUUCCUCGGUCAUUUUAAACAAAGCCGAUUUAAGUCUGACGUGAAAAUAGUUUUUCUCCAGGAUGUCGAUUCGCGGCCUCCGACCGUUCGUCCGUAAUAAUGUGGCGCCUCGUAGCAGUGGAGGUGUUUGCGAUUGUGAAAGGCUUUGAUGAUCUGUGAAGGGAAUCGUGCCAUCUGAGCUGUGUUUUCAUUUGAUUUGUGAUUUAAAUCCCAAUGGAAGGUUGAAAACUAAAUGUAUGUUUGGAAAAAAAAAAAAAAAAUUGGAAAAUUAUAAUUCCUUUGUAUCCUUUCGCCACACAGCAUCCAUGAGGUUACAAUGGUUUUAUAAGCAAGUCUGGUCC